GACGAACGCUGGCGGCGUGCUUAACACAUGCAAGUCAAGGGGGCCCAGCAAUGGGCAACCGGCGAACGGGUGAGUAACACGUAGGUAAUCUACCUUCGGAGUGGGGAAGUAACAAUACGGAAACGGUUGCUAAUACCGCAUAAUGCAGCGGCACCUAAUGGUGACAGUUGUUAAAGCGGGGGAGUCGAAAGACCUCGCGUCUGAAGAGGAGCCUGCGGCGGAUUAGCUAGUUGGUAAGGAACGGCUUACCAAGGCGACGAUCCGUAGCCGGCCUGAGAGGGCGGUCGGCCACACUGACACUGACAUACGGGUCAGACUCCUACGGGAAGCAGCAGUCGGGAAUUUU
rnacentral:rRNA from 1 species